AGGAAAAGGCUCUGUUGGCAUAGAGUGACCUGAUGGUGAGGGUGAAAGAAAGUCAGCUAAGGGGGUGAUUAGGUCAGGUGAGAGAAUGGAGGUGGGUGAGGAAGGCUCAGGCAGAGGGGCUAGUCUUAGGGCUCUUGGAGAGACUGCUGAGAAAGCAGAGGACAGAGAGAACAAUGACUCAGUAACAGAAGCUGUGGAAGCCAAAGGGGACAUAGAAGGAGUAGCAUCACCCAGAGCCUCUGGGAACAGCAGCUAAUUGGCCUCAGCAGUUGUGCUAUUAUACACCUCACAGAAGGAGUCUGGACAUAACAGUUGGUGAAAGCAGAUGGUGUCAUGAUGCCGGCCCAGGGAGCUGUGGGAGACAGGACGUACAAAGCUGCAGCCAGAGCCAGAACAAACAUGUGUGGCCUUGGCAAGUCUGGCAGAGCUCCUCUGUGAAUGGUGGUCCAGUACAUCUACUGAGCAAGUGGAGACAGCCUAAGUUUGAGGAAAGUGAAGGAGAUUUGAAAUAAAGUAGAGAGGCAUCAGAGAGAAUGGACUAAGGAAACAGUGACCUAAGCCCCAUUUGUUUUCCCCACGUGUUGGUUGACAUAUGGUGUCAGGAAGCGGGACCUGAAGCAAUCUCACCUUCACGGACCAGCGUCCCCUGGAAAUGGGUUGGGGACCAACAGGAGCCCCCUUGUGUGCUCAACUUCUUCCAUGGACAGCUGACUCCUCCGGUCGUGGGACCUCUCAAGCUUGGACCUCCCUCCCUUUGGUUUAGAGAGAUUCAUGGAAAAGACUCUGAUCCUCUAGAAUACAGGAUUCUGAUAAACUUUCAGAUCAUAAAACUGGACUGGGUAAGAAAUUACAGAACUCUAACUGAAAAACUAACGGCUUCAUAAAACUGCG